rnacentral:lncRNA from 1 species
GCAGACGCCACUGAAUAUUUUACCUUUGAAAAUUGAAGGCAUAUGUUUUGUUAUUAAGUAGGCAUUUCACUUUCAGCCGUUCGGUGUCAAACUUUGACAUAGCUUUUUUAUUUUUACUUUUUAUUAUUAUUAUUGUUAUUAUUCUUGGCUACAACAAGAGAAUCAUCAUGGAUCAAUAUUAUUUGCUCUGCCUCCAUUUUAGAUUAAAGUUGUACACUCUAUUUGCUUGCAUAAAGUUUGCCUUCCCAUCAAAAGGACUUAUAGUCUUUGAAGGGCAUUUUGAGA